UUUUACGUGGUCAAAUAGACUAUAUUCUUGAAAAAUCCCUCUAGCUCUGCCCUGCUGCUUUCACUUUUCAUGAUUCUAGAAAAUGCCAAACAAAUGAAGAGUUGAUGAUGUCAACCAACUCAAAUGGAUUUGUGUCACAUGCGUAGUCCUAGACGCGUUCCUAUAUUUGAGCUUGCCCAUUUCAAUUCCUAGGUGCUCUGCUCCGUACAAAUUAUUUGAUCUACUCUCAAUUUUGCUAAGACAGGCAAGUGGUCAUAUUCAAUUCUCUAAUUCUGAUUCAGGAGUAAGAUGACUUUGGUUGCUUGAGAAUCUAACAUAGUUACCUGACCUUAAGAAGUUGCUUGAUAUCGAUUUUGAAAAUGUCAAGGCUAGUUCAUCUUCAAAUCCACAGAAUCAUCCACUAGUACAUCAGUUCCGGUAAGCUGUCUGGUUUGAAUAUAAGCAGCAAAUAUCUCAAAAUUUAGAGAAUUCUGAGAAUCUUGAAGCUCAAAAUGAAAUCUUUGCUCAUGUAAUGGGGCACAACAAAGCUGGCCAUGUGUCUCUUUAUGAAAGAGGUGCGACUGCUUCAGAUUAGAAGAAAAAACCACCUUCAUUUGAUUCCAUGGAUGCCCAAAGAAUUGUUGAAAAUGCUAGAAGAGUUGUUAUGGAUGAGAUGAAAGAAGUGAAAAAUGAAUUAGAAUAGGAGAUGCAAAAAAAGUUGGAGCAGCAAGUACAAUCUAUCGAGACUGAAAUGAUAGAUCAAGUUCUAACUAUCAAAUCAGCAAUUUUGCAGCAAAUUAACUUGUUGAUCUCACAAUUACAAAUGAGGUUUCCUAGGCCAGCAACUUCAACCAUAAAUGACCGGCCAUCAACUUCUUCACAAAUGGUAAGGAAGGCUAGGAACUGCAAUGUCAACUGGUUUUGUUAGGUUGGAGAAUGGACAAAUAAAUAUGUAUAGAGAGGAAUUAGAGAGAAUAAGAGAGAAAGAGAGAGAGAUGACUAAAAUUAGUUAAGGAUUAGUUCUACUAUAAACAUUUGAUUCCAUACGGUAAACAUUGUAAAGACCUUUGAAAAUGAUUUUUAAAGCAUUUAAUUUUUGAGGC
rnacentral:sRNA from 1 species